ACUACGGGAGGCAGCAGUGGGGAAUAUUGGGCAAUGGAGGCAACUCUGACCCAGCAACGACGCGUGAAUGAUGAAGGUCUUCGGAUUGUAAAGUUCUGUGAUGGGGGAUGAACACAAUGACGGUACCCCAAUAGCAAGCCACGGCUAACUACGGGCCAGAAGCCGCGGUAAUACGUAGGUAGCAAGCGUUAUCCGGAAUGACUGGGCGUAAAGGGGGCGUAGGUGGUUUAGUAAGUUGGCGGUGUAAUUCCGGGGCUCAACCUGGGCGCUACCGCCAAAACUAUUAGACUAGAGUGCAGGAGGGGUAAGUGGAAUUCCUAGUGUAGCGGUGGAAUGCGUAGAUAUUAGGAGGAACAUCAGGGGCGAAGGCGACUGACUGGACUGUAACUGACACGGAGGCACGAAAGCGUGGGGAGCAAACAGGAUUAGAUACCCCUGUAGUC
rnacentral:rRNA from 1 species